GAACGCGAAGAACCUUACCAUCCCUUGACAUGUCGUGCCAUCCGGAGAGAUCCGGGGUUCCCUUCGGGGACGCGAACACAGGUGCUGCAUGGCUGUCGUCAGCUCGUGUCGUGAGAUGUUGGGUUAAGUCCCGCAACGAGCGCAACCCACGUCCUUAGUUGCCAUCAUUCAGUUGGGCACUCUAGGGAGACUGCCGGUGAUAAGCCGCGAGGAAGGUGUGGAUGACGUCAAGUCCUCAUGGCCCUUACGGGAUGGGCUACACACGUGCUACAAUGGCGGUGACAGUGGGACGCGAAACCGCGAGGUUGAGCAAAUCCCCAAAAACCGUCUCAGUUCAGAUUGCACUCUGCAACUCGAGUGCAUGAAGGCGGAGUCGCUAGUAAUCGUGGAUCAGCAUGCCACGGUGAAUACGUUCCCGGGUCUUGUACACACC
rnacentral:rRNA from 1 species